AAGGAAAGGGGGGAGAGGAGAAGGGCGUGGGAGCACGAGGGGUACCACUGGACAGAAGGCACGGGUGUGCCUGUCCAAAGGCUGCUGUCUGAGCACUGGCUUUCAGGAGUUCCCCCACUGCCUAAUUAGGAGGCUGGCUCACCACGCCCCAACCAUAAACACUGCAUGACUUCUGCCGAGUUCUGGAUCUCCUCCAGGAGUCUGGAAUUUUAGUACACUCGACACAGACAGUGAGUGCGUGGCCAGGCCCAGUGGACUCCAGGCAGAGUCCUUGGUAGUCAGCAUCUCAGACAUGUGGCCCAGCUCAGUCCUGGGGAGUUAAGCACAUCCAUGGGACUACGGGGAGAGGGUCUCCGGAAGCUCACUCAUCACCUCUAGACGCCACCCUACGUGCCGUUCCUGUCACUGAAUCUGCCUUGUGUCUCCUACUUGGGAGUCAGCAGAGAGAACUGCCGAGCUGGGAGCAGUCUUGGGAACCCCUGCAGAGAAGUCCCCAGGAGCAGCCCAGAGAGGAAGCAGAACUGGCGGAACCAGCGGUGGACCGGCCAGAGAGGAGGACAGGGACAAGGCGAAGGCGAGGCCCAGCUGCCCUGCUUCUCCCUAGUGCUCGCGGCUAUCUGCUCCUCUCCGAGCGCCAGCAGCCCUGUGAGCACGUCCCAUGCAGCCGUCUAUUUACCUGGUCCUCUACGGUGCUGUGGUGUAGCGGAUUAAUGCCCUGGCCUGAAGCACUGGCUUCCCAUAUGGGUUCAAGACCCAGCCACUCCACUUCCAAUCCAGCUCUCUGCUGUGGCCUGUGGAAGAUGGCUCAAGUCCUUGGGCCCCUGCACCCACGUGGGAAGACCUGGAGGAGGCUCCUGGCUCCGGAUCAGCGCAGCUCCGGCUGUUGCGGUCAUCUGAGGAGUGAACCACCAGAUGGAAGACCUCUUUCUCUCUGCCUCUCCUCUCUCUGUGUAACUCUGACUUUCAAAUAAAUAAAUCUUAAAAAAAAAAAAGCCCUCUAAAUUAUUGUCAUUGAGAUUUUCUGUAUUGAACAAAGGGAAAACUAAUUUCUAACUUUUCAAAUUAACUUAAAUACCUAAUAUUUUACAUUUGAAGUGUUUUUUCCAGUUCAUUGAUAUUCACAGAAGUUUAACUUUUCAGGAAAAUGAAUAAUAAAAGCAUAAUGAUUUUCUUAAAGUUCUAAUACAAUAAAAUAACAAUACGCACAAAACAGCACUUACUUUGGUAUUGAUGGCAAAGCUCGUUCACCUUCUGGGGGAAAAGAAGGAAAAAGAGAAUGAUUUUCCUUUUCAUGGUUUUGUAAAGAUCAUACACAGUAAUCAGGGGAAAAGGGUAAGCUCUAUCCUGAUUUUUAGCAAUAGCCCAUUAGAGUCACACUAUAGGUUUUCAUGGUUUUAUUUUCAGUAUUUAUAACAUACACAAAAGAACUGUUAAGUGAACAGCAUUUGAAAGAUACUACCUAAAGUGCAAGACUUCCUGUCCCAGGAGACUAAAGUCUGGGGGAUUUUUUAUGAUCAAAGUAAGCAUUCCUUGUCAAAGAAAUGAACCUUCUACAAACCGAGAAGAUUGCAAAUAAUGUGAUAUCAACACAAGUGUCAUAAGACAGUAAGCUACUGUGAAGUAAUAGCAAAGUUUUGAGAAAGAUUGCUAUUGGAAACAGCACCAUUUAAAAACAAAAUAAUUAUCAGUCGGACUUGCCCCAAAUGGU